GACGCGUCGACUAGAUUCAAAAUGUUACGAAAACGGUCGUUUUUCGGUCAGAACGAGAUUCCGAGGAUGGUACAGGUAGCAAUAAAGUUGGUUUUUGUAAGGCAAUUGUCUCGUGACUAAAAUGGGUGGGUGGACGGGUGACCAUCUAGAGAUGCCUUUAGUUUUGUGUAUUGUAUUAUUAAUCUACAUAUACAUAGGUAUUAUUCGUUCAAU